GGGAUUUUAGUAUAAUGGUAAUGCAAAUGACUUUUAAUCAUUAAGAUGUAGGUUCGAAUCCUGCAAAUCCUA
rnacentral:tRNA from 1 species